rnacentral:lncRNA from 1 species
UUCUUUCCUAGCCUCUCUUAUUAGAUGAAUGAUUCAUUGGCCAGUAAAAGGAGCCUCCCAGCUAGUCUUUGAGCAGGAUUGAAGGUUUCCUUCAAGAAAUACAAGCCAGAAAACUGCUCCAGAAGAUACAGGGAAAGAGU